rnacentral:rRNA from 1 species
UACGGAGGGGGCUAGCGUUGUUCGGAAUUACUGGGCGUAAAGCGCACGUAGGCGGCUUUGUAAGUUAGAGGUGAAAGCCCGGGGCUCAACUCCGGAAUUGCCUUUAAGACUGCAUCGCUAGAAUUGUGGAGAGGUAAGUGGAAUUCCGAGUGUAGAGGUGAAAUUCGUAGAUAUUCGGAAGAACACCAGUGGCGAAGGCGGCUAUCUGGCUCACAACUGACGAUCAGGCACGAAAGCGUGGGGAGCAAACAGG